GAACUAACGCACUGAUUGGUAGAUAAUUACAAAAGGCGGUCCUCUUCGUCUGGUCUGUUGUUUGCUGCUGAGACCGGUUUCAGUGUAAAGUUAAUUAACGGGGUUUUUCACCGUGUGCCAUUUUAAAAUAUGGCAGCUACUGCUGAGAUCAGCAGUGAUUUUCCCGGUCAAACUUUGCCAAUGUCGCCAUCAAUUAACAUUUUCAUGAUUUUCUGAAGGUGAUAUAAGACAAGAACAUGUGGAAAUGUGUCUGAUCAUCGCAACUCUAUCCUUGAUGUGCCAGUGGGGAGCUUACUCGAAGACACCAAUCUUCAGCCCCCCAACUCCUUGCAUUUGACUUCCUCUAUAGGGAUAAUACUUGGAGGCCAAGUGGUGAUGGACAAAAUGCAGGAUGUCUCAUAAGCAAUGUGUCUUCUCUUUGGUCUUAUUUAUGCGUUAGACCCAAAUUCCCUCGCAAACACGUUUGAUGUCAAUGGGGCAGAACACCCUCAAUCCUAAAGUACAGUCUUUGGCAAACCAACUUUUUGGUGAAGAAAAAUGUUUAGGUCUCCUUGUUGCAGAUUUUGAGUCAGCAUUGUUAGAUUUACAUACUCAGAGCAAUUUUUUUUAAUUGAUUAACUGGAUUAUCCAUAAAUGAAGGAGAAAAAGUAUAAUAGUAUUUUAAAUUGUUUAAGUGCACAGAGUUCUUCCACUGAUGGAGUGCAGUAGUUAAUGUGGGACAUUGUUACCAAGUCUUCAGUGCUGUACAGUGUGGUCGUGACACAUUUCCAUUAUAGUAUAGUGUGUACUGUAAUUUCAUUAAUUUUGUGAACAUUGGUCAAUAAAGACAUUCAAUAUGCUAUUCA
ensembl:lncRNA